AUUAGCCAUGCAUGUCUCAGUACAAGCCGAAUUAAGGUGAAACCGCGAAAGGCUCAUUAAAUCAGUUAUGGUUCCUUAGAUCGUACCCACAUUUACUUGGAUAACUGUGGUAAUUCUAGAGCUAAUACAUGCAAACAGAGCUCCAACCGGAAACGGAAGGAGCGCUUUUAUUAGAUCAAAACCAAUCGGUGGCGGUCUCCGUCAUCGUACAACUUGGUGAAUCUGAAUAACUUUACGCUGAUCGCACGGUCUCGCACCGGCGACGCAUCUUUCAAAUGUCUGCCUUAUCAACUGUCGAUGGUAGGUUCUGCGCCUACCAUGGUUGUAACGGGUAACGGGGAAUCAGGGUUCGAUUCCGGAGAGGGAGCCUGAGAAACGGCUACCACAUCCAAGGAAGGCAGCAGGCGCGCAAAUUACCCACUCCCGGCACGGGGAGGUAGUGACGAAAAAUAACGAUACGGGACUCAUCCGAGGCCCCGUAAUCGGAAUGAGUACACUCUAAACCCUUUAACGAGGAUCAAUUGGAGGGCAAGUCUGGUGCCAGCAGCCGCGGUAAUUCCAGCUCCAAUAGCGUAUAUUAAAGUUGUUGCGGUUAAAAAGCUCGUAGUCGAAUUUGUGUCCCGCGCCGCCGGUUCAUCGUUCGCGGUGUUAACUGGCGUGCCGCGGGACGUCCUGCCGGUGGGCUUAGCUCGAGAGGGCGGCCCAACUCAAUCCCGCCGCGGUGCUCUUCAUUGAGUGUCGAGGUGGGCCGGCACGUUUACUUUGAACAAAUUAGAGUGCUUAAAGCAGGCUAAAACUUCGCCUGAAUACUGUGUGCAUGGAAUAAUGGAAUAGGACCUCGGUUCUAUUUUGUUGGUUUUCGGAACCCCGAGGUAAUGAUUAAUAGGAACGGAUGGGGGCAUUCGUAUUGCGACGUUAGAGGUGAAAUUCUUGGAUCGUCGCAAGACGGACAGAAGCGAAAGCAUUUGCCAAAAACGCUUUCAUUGAUCAAGAACGAAAG
rnacentral:rRNA from 1 species